rnacentral:rRNA from 1 species
UACGGAGGGUGCAAGCAUUAAUCGGAUUUAUUGGGCGUAUAGGGCGCGUAGGCGGAAAUGUAAGUCAGAUGUGAAAUCCCGGGGCUCAACUCCGGAACUGCAUUUGAAACUACAUUCCUUGAGGGUAGGCGGAGAAAACGGAAUUCCACAAGUAGCGGUGAAAUGCGUAGAUAUGUGGAAGAACACCUGUGGCGAAAGCGGUUUUCUAGCUUACUCCUGACGCUAAGGCGCGAAAGCUAGGGGAGCAAACAGG